GGCUACUUUUGUACGUUCUAUUAGAAUCUAGGGAAGAUACUAACAGUCCAGAAUAUCAGACAUAACAAGAAUAGAGCAUGACAAUAAACUUUUAAAAAAGCUAUAUAUUUCUUCUGGUGCAAAAGAUGAGAAAAUGAUUGAUGAAAUUUCGAUAUAAAAAAAAAAAUCUUUACCUAGUACGUCGUAUCCAAAUCGGUGCGCGCCGCCAUCUUGAAAAGUUGUCUCGAAAGCGGAUAUAUAUUUCCUUUUUUGAAAUGAAUCGUAAUACAAUGAACUUUUCGCUUCAUACUUUUAAUCAUCAAUCGAUGGAGAAGCGAAUCUUUAAUUCUCUAACAUGUAUCUCGGAAACUGCGUCAGAUAGAUAUACGGUUUAAGUUUCCGAGAUGCAUUAGAGAAUGAAAGAUAUUAUAUUCAUAUUUUUUCUUUCAUUGCACAAUGGGAGACGUUUAAAUGACGACUAUCAUUUACACGUCCCCACUGCGCAAUGCAAUCAGCUUUCGCACGGAACAGCUAUACAAAUGUCAAGAUGGAAGCGUGCACCGAUUUAAACACUUCGUUUAGGUAAAUACUUUUAUUUCAAUGCUCAUCUUUUGUUCGCCUGUACCAUCUUCAGUUUAGAAAAUUCUGUUUAUAUUUUUCAAUUCAGUGCUUUUUCUAUUAUAUUAAACUUAUUCCGAGGAAAUUAUGCCCUUUUAAGAUAAUGUCAAUGAGUAUAGUAUAUACAGUAGUAUGA
rnacentral:lncRNA from 1 species